UUUCCCACUUUGGGUUGAACUUCUGUCCUUCAAACAACUGCUUGCUUCACUGGAAUAGCACUUGACUUGAUUGCAAGUUAAAACCCUUUAAGGGGUAGCUCACUCCAAUGAUUUUUUCAAUGACUAUGCUGUCAGUGGGGAUUUGUGAUUAUUGCCACUGCUCCAAAUUUCUAUAAUCAUUUGCAUUUUGAAAUGAUUGGGAUGACCGUUCUCUGAGAAUAUAAUAUAUAAUUUUUUCCUUAUGGUGUUUUAGCAGCAUUUUGCAAGGAGAACAAUGAGGAGAGAGUAAAUUGUAUUGUAAUUCAUUUGAAUAGAAGCCCAUUUCAGGGAGAUUUCGGGGACACGGCUCAGACUUCGACUCUUACUUUAGCCCUUUAGAAGUAUUUCUACUUGAGUCACUGAAGGGCUCUUAGAGCCUUAUAGCUUUCCAGCAGCUAGGAAUUCUUAAUGAAAGAUGAAAUCUGACUUUCAGUUUGAGGUAUUCUUAUCAGUGCUGGAAGAUGGGAAGGGAAAGCAGAAAAAGACUUUUUUUUGAAGAUUAAAGCUGCAGUUUUCCCCCCUUCCAUCCCAUUUCUCCAUUUAUCUCCCUUUUUCCUCUUUCUCCCACCCCCAGUGUUCAGUAUAGCAGCUAGGAGAAGGAGCACCUGAACAGGAUUACUCAAAGCAAGGUCUGUUUAUGAUGAUCACUGACACAAUUAGACGAGGUAUUUAUUAAACAUUCAUAUUCCUGGCCAUUACUUCAAACCCACUGAAUGGAAGAAUCUCCAUACUAUGUGAAUUUUAAGAAGAACCCCAUUUUAGCUGCUUACAGUUUACGAAGUAUUUGGGCUGUGUGGUUGGAUUCAGGGGAGUAAAAUCAAGCCCAAUUUUUUUAAAAAAAAUCAUUUUGUAAGGCCUGAAUAUUUAUUUUUACAAGUAAAUUAUAAAAACCUCAUUUUAAAAGAUAGCACUUCUCCUAUUGUAAAGUAUGAAGCCCAUGGCUGGCAGUUUGGUGGCAGUCCAGAGGCAACAGGAUGGGUGCUUCCUGGGCCGCCUUUCACAGCCAUAGGGGAUAAGUCAAUGCAGUGAAGCAACAACCCACAGAGAAAAACUGAGCAUCUUCUUAGGUCUUCAUUACGUACAGCAGUAUCUCCUCCUUAUGCUCCUCCUUAGCUGAGAUCAUAUGUGACUUCAUCGAAAAGAUGGCCCAUGUGCUGCUGGCCCAGGAACCACGUCUUGAGAGCUAUUCCUAUAAGGUGUUUCCUCGGGUUACUUGAUAGAAGAGCGGCAUAUAGCAGAGUAAAACUCAAAUGGUGAUAGUCAUCACAGUCUGUUCCUUCCUCAUCCCUCACCCCCUGGAGAGAAACGUAGUAGUUAGAAAUCUCAACUUCUGUUUUCUAAGUACUUUACCUCUUGUUCUUCUACCAUUGUCUUUGUGAUUUAAGAAAAUGAGAACAGAGGCUGCUCCCCCACAGUGAGACCACAUUGCUUUUUGGUCUUAGUACCCAGCAGUUGGUUUAAUCAGAAUGUAGCUGCCCAGGAAGAAAUCGGUAAUUCUGUAGCAGAGUUGAUUCAAGUUCUCUCCUGCUCUCCCUUCCCCUUCCCUUUGCAGCUUCUCCAUCUCGUAUGUUAUUAUAAAAUCUCUAGGCCUCAUGCUACUCUUGGGAAUCCCAGCAAGGUAAUCAGCCCUAAGUGGUACUUCCUGUGAACUUGUUAACUUUUGGCUUUAACAAUAGUGAAUGGUAGAGACUGAUAUGAAGAGGAAGAAAUCAGCUAUGAGCACUCAAGAACCUGGGGGAAAAAAUUAGGCUUUCUUCACCUUUUGGAGUGGGAACAUGCUUAAAAGGUCUAUUUUAGAACUCUGUUCCAAGUGAUAUUCCAACUCAAGCGAAGUGAUCAGUUUCUGAGCUCCUUACCUGAAAAGUCCAGGGAUGGACCUAGCCAGCAUUCAGUACCUGGAUCCAGGGGCGCACACAGUCUCUCACCAUCCCUGGACUUGGUUUUCUCUGUGUUGGCGUCAACCCUCCAUUAGACUCUUCACUGGGGUUGCAAAGGUGGCUUUUGGGAGUCUUUCCUUUAUUCUACCACAGUUAUAUCCCAGUGGAAAGCACAUAUCUUUGUCUCAGCAACUCAAGCAAAAUUCUCAAGGCUGAGCCAGGUGGCGCACGUCUACCCCUUAACUAGUCACCAUAUGCUGUUGACAUGGAGGGCAUCCUGACUGAGAUGAAGACUGAAGUUGCUCUUAAAGUGCAGACAAAGGUUGAGCAGAAGGCAUUCAAGGCCUGCAUAGGGGGAGAAGAGAA
ensembl:lncRNA